rnacentral:tRNA from 1 species
GCAGAGGUGGCGGAGUGGUUCACGCACCCGCCUGCAGAGCGGGUUACCCGGGUUCGAAUCCCGGCCUCUGCU